ensembl:miRNA
GACAUUGGGCUCAAGGUGAGGGGUGCUAUCUGUGAUUGAGGGACAUGGUUAAUGGAAUUGUCUCACACAGAAAUCGCACCCGUCACCUUGGCCUGCUGA